CCAAUACAUGGACUUACAUCCGACUCCAAACAAAUAACACAAACAAGGAAACAGAAUGCCGAUACAUGGACUUAUAUCCGACUCCAAACAAAAACAAACAAACAGGAAACAGAAUGCCCAUACGUGGACUUACAUCCAACUCCAAACAAAAACCACAAACAAGGAAACAGAAUGCCAAUACAUGGACUUACAUCCAACUCCAAACAAAAACCACAAACAAG
rnacentral:lncRNA from 1 species